rnacentral:tRNA from 1 species
CAAAAUAUAGCUUAAAAAAGCAUCUGACUUACACUCAGAAGAUUUCACACUCUAUGAAUAUUUUGA